rnacentral:rRNA from 2 species
GAAACGACUGCUAAGACUGGAUAGGAAGAUAAAAGGCAUCUUGUAUCUUUUAAAAGACCUAGUUAAUAGGUAUGCUUUAGGAGGGGCUUGCGCCAUAUUAGUUAGUUGGUAGGGUAAUGGCCUACCAAGACGAUGAUGUGUAGCUGGACUGAGAGGUUGAACAGCCACAUUGGGACUGAGACACGGCCCAAACUCCUACGGGAGGCAGCAGUAGGGAAUUUUCGGCGAUGGAGGAAACUCUGACCGAGCAACGCCGCGUGAAUGACGAAGUACUUCGGUAUGUAAAGUUCUUUUAUCGAGGAAGAAAAGCAAAUGGCGAACCAUUUGUUUGCCGGUACUUGAUGAAUAAGCCCCGGCUAAUUAUGUGCCAGCAGCCGCGGUAAGACAUAAGGGGCAAGUGUUAUCCGGAAUUAUUGGGCGUAAAGGGUGCGUAGGCGGUCUAGUAAGUCAGUGGUGUAAUGGCAACGCUUAACGUUGUCCGGCUAUUGAAACUGCUAAACUUGAGUUAGAUAGAGGCGAGUGGAAUUCCAUGUGUAGCGGUAAAAUGCGUAAAUAUAUGGAGGAACACCAGAGGCGUAGGCGGCUCGCUGGGUCUUAACUGACGCUGAGGCACGAAGGCGUGGGGAGCAAACAGGAUUAGAUACCCUGGUAGUCCACGCCGUAAACGAUGAGUACUAAGUGUCGGGUUAAACCGGUACUGAAGUUAACACAUUAAGUACUCCGCCUGAGUAGUACGUACGCAAGUAUGAAACUUAAAGGAAUUGACGGGACUCCGCACAAGCGGUGGAUCAUGUUGUUUAAUUCGAAGAUACCCGAAAAACCUUACCAGGUCUUGACAUGUUUUUGCAGAAUGAUAGUAAUAUCGUGGAGGUUACCAGAAACACAGGUGGUGCAUGGUUGUCGUCAGCUCGUGUCGUGAGAUGUUAGGUUAAGUCCUAAAACGAGCGAAACCCUUAUCGUUAGUUGCCAGCACGUUAUGGUGGGGACUUUAACGAGACUGCCAAUGAUAAAUUGGAGGAAGGUGAGGAUCACGUCAAAUCAGCAUGCCCCUUAUGACCUGGGCUACAAACGUGAUACAAUGGCUGUUACAAAGGGUAGCUGAAACGCAAGUUCUUGGCCAAUCCCCAAAAACAGUCCCAGUCCGGAUUGAAGUCUGCAACUCGACUUCAUGAAGUUGGAAUCGCUAGUAAUCGCGAAUCAGCAUGUCGCGGUGAAUACGUUCACGGGGUUUGUACACGCCGCCCGUCA